rfam:Schistosoma mansoni strain Puerto Rico chromosome 1, complete genome
AUCCAGCUGACGAGUCCCGAAUAGGACGAAACGUGUGGCCUGGAU